ensembl:lncRNA
UGCGCAUGCCCGAUUCCGAAGGCGAAUGCGGUAUGAAACACAAGCCUACAGACAAGACGGUAUAACCUCGAGAUCAGAAGUCCCUUAGAUAUUUUGGAACGAAAAACAUUCAAUCCCAUUGGCUUGUAUAAGUGUCCGAGUUGGCGAAGGAUCUUCAGAAUCAACUAUAUGGGCCCGGUUUCCCAAAGCACUAUGAUGAUCGUAAGAUGCACGUUUUGUUAUUCCAUUAACAUGAAUGGAAUUAACCUGGGAAGGUGUUCCGGUCCCGUCCCACCGGGAGGAGACCCCGGGGAAGACCUAGGACACGCUGGAGGGACUAUGUCUCCCGGCUGGCCUGGGAACGCCUUGGUGUCCCCCCG